rnacentral:rRNA from 1 species
AAUGAACGUUGGCGGCGUGGAUUAGGCAUGCAAGUCGUGCGGCAGCAGGCCCCGCAAGGGGUGCUGGCGAGCGGCGAAAGGGAGAGUAACGCGUGGGUACCAACCUUCGGGAUCAGGAUAGCGGCGGGAAACUGCCGGUAAUAACGAAUAACGUCCCCGGAACAAAGGUUGGAUUCCGCCUGAAGAAGGGCCCGCGUCCGAUCGGCUAGUUGGUGAGGUAAUGGCUCACCAAGGCUCUGACGGGUACUGGGUGUGAGAGCACGACCCAGCUCACUGGGACUGAGACACUGCCCAGACACCUACGGGUGCUGCAGUCGAGAAUCUUCGGCAAUGGGCGCAAGCCUGACCGAGCGACGCCGCGUGCGGGAUGAAGGCCUUCGGGUUGUAAACCGCUGUCGAGGUGGAGGAAAUGCCAUGGGGUUCACCCCAUGGUUUGACUGAUACCUGGAGGAAGGGUGGGCUAAGCUCGUGCCAGCCGCCGCGGUAAAAC